rnacentral:lncRNA from 1 species
AAACACUUUCAUGGUUACAAUAAUACUGAAGUCUUAAAUGAAGACAAUAAAUAGCUUCCUGCUUAAAAUGAAACUGGUGGGCACUGUGACUGGGCAGAGCAGCAGGACUGGGGACAGCAGCCUUUGUGAACCUUGAUAGAAACAGUUUUAAUCUGGGGGGAGUUCUCUGUCCCACUCUGAAGAUACUCCAUUAGCCUGCAGCAUGGGAUGAACUUAGCCUGAUUUUUCUUCAUGGUUUGAUUUCAUGAUGUCAUCAUGGAAAUCUUCUUGCCACCUGUUUUUGGUAGGGGUGGCUGCCUUGCACCCUCAGCCAGGGGGAUUCCAAAUGCCUGUUUCAGCC